UUUUGAUUUUCAGGAGAGUGUGUUUUUUGCUAUUUUUUGAUAGGAAGGAUAAAACAGCAAAACCAUGCAUCAGCAUGGCAAAACACCACCGAAGGCGCAAACUGUGCUUGCACAAUCCCCAUAAUCGCUCAGGUAAAUGGACUGGAAAUCGCGA
rnacentral:ncRNA from 2 species